rnacentral:rRNA from 1 species
AGAGUUUGAUCAUGGCUCAGGAUUAACGCUAGCGGCAGGCCUAAUACAUGCAAGUCGAACGGCAGCACGGGUAGCAAUACCUGGUGGCGAGUGGCGCACGGGUGCGUAACGCGUAUGCAAUCUACCUAUAACUGGGGAAUAGCCUUCCGAAAGGAAGAUUAAUACCGCAUAAUAUCACGAGACGGCAUCGUUUUGUGAUCAAAUCUCCGGAGGUUAUAGAUGAGCAUGCGUGACAUUAGCUAGUUGGUGAGGUAACGGCUCACCAAGGCUACGAUGUCUAGGGGGUCUGAGAGGAUGAUCCCCCACACUGGUACUGAGACACGGACCAGACUCCUACGGGAGGCAGCAGUAAGGAAUAUUGGACAAUGGCCGCAAGGCUGAUCCAGCCAUGCCGCGUGCAGGAUGAAGGUGCUCUGCAUUGUAAACUGCUUUUGUUUGGGAAUAAACCCCUCUACGUGUAGAGGGCUGAAUGUACCAAAAGAAUAAGGGACGGCUAACUUCGUGCCAGCAGCCGCGGUAAUACGAAGGUCCCAAGCGUUAUCCGGAUUUAUUGGGUUUAAAGGGUGCGUAGGCGGAUUAUUAAGUCAGUGGUGAAAGCCUUCAGCUUAACUGAAGAACUGCCAUUGAUACUGAUGAUCUUGAGUAUGAUUGAGGUGGGCGGAAUGUGUCAUGUAGCGGUGAAAUGCUUAGAUAUGACACAGAACACCGAUUGCGAAGGCAGCUCACUAAGUCAUAACUGACGCUGAUGCACGAAAGCGUGGGGAGCAAACAGGAUUAGAUACCCUGGUAGUCCACGCCCUAAACGAUGAUCACUCGAUGUGUGCGAUACACUGUACGCGUCUGAGCGAAAUGCAUUAUAGAUGAUCCUCCUGGGGAGUAGCGACCGCAAGGUUGAAACUCAAAGGGAUUGACGG